rnacentral:rRNA from 1 species
UGGGCAACCUGCCCCUAGCACUGGGAUAACCCCCGGGGAAACCGGAGCUAAUACCAGAUACGACCUUGGACGGCAUCUUCCGAGGUGGAAAUGAAUUUUCGGCUAGGGAUGGGCCCGCGGCCUAUCAGCUUGUUGGUGAGGUAACGGCCCACCAAGGCGACGACGGGUAGCCGGCCUGAGAGGGCGACCGGCCACACUGGGACUGAGAUACGGCCCAGACUCCGUACGGGAGGCA